GGAACGGGACGCCAUAGAGGGUGAGAGCCCCGUCUGGUUGGAUACCGAGCCUNUGUAAAGAUCCUUCGACGAGUCGAGUAGUUUGGGAAUGCUGCUCUAAAUGGGAGGUAUAUGUCUUCUAAAGCUAAAUAUUGGCCAGAGACCGAUAGCGCACAAGUAGAGUGAUCGAAAGAUGAAAAGCACUUUGAAAAGAGGGUUAAAAAGUACGUGAAAUUGUUGAAAGGAAAGCGCUCAUGACCAAACUUGG
rnacentral:rRNA from 1 species